rnacentral:rRNA from 1 species
UACGAAGGGGCUAGCGUUGUUCGGAAUCACUGGGCGUAAAGGGCGCGUAGGCGGCCAUAUAAGUCGGGGGUGAAAGCCUGUGGCUCAACCACAGAAUUGCCUUCGAUACUGUAUGGCUCGAGACCGGAAGAGGUAAGUGGAACUGCGAGUGUAGAGGUGAAAUUCGUAGAUAUUCGCAAGAACACCAGUGGCGAAGGCGGCU